CAGUAGCGUAUAUUAAAGUUGUUGCAGUUAAAAAGCUCGUAGUUGGACCUUGGACCUGGACAGGCGGUCCGCCUCACGGCGAGUACUGUCUUGCUGGGUCUUUCCUCUUGGUGAUCUGUUGUUUCGGCAGCAGGGAACCAGGACCUUUACUUUGAAAAAAUUAGAGUGUUCAAAGCAGGCUCGACGCCGGAAUAUAUUAGCAUGGAAUAAUAAAAUAGGACGUGCGGUUCUAUUUUGUUGGUUUUUGGAAUCGCCGUAAUGAUUAAUAGGGACAGUCGGGGGCAUUAGUACUCACAUGCUAGAGGUGAAAUUCUUGGAUUUUGUGAAGACUAACUUCUGCGAAAGCAUUUGCCAAGGAUGUUUNCAUUA
rnacentral:rRNA from 1 species